rnacentral:lncRNA from 1 species
GGAGACAGGAACAGCAUAAAUAUACAACUGGAUGGUAGAUGUGGGUCUGCUGUGCCAGAAGAUGAAGAUGAAACAGCUGUAAGCUACUGGAAGCUGGGACAGCCACGUGACCCACGGCCUCUGGUGUUUGCAGAGACAUCAGCGUUUAUCCAGUCCCGAGUUAUGUGCCUUGGGUCCCAAGGGAGCUCACAUUAUGGUAGGAAAGCAAGCGGCACAAAUGUGGAAGACCCCUGCUUGGAUCCUGACUUGGCGCCCUUUGUGUUCUUUCAGAAGGACAGGGGUGUUCCUGGGCCCAGAGCGCCUCUGCAGCGGAUACAGGCAUCUUGCUCUGCUGGCGUGAAGAUCCAAGAGCUGAUGCUCCAGGCAGACACCACCAGGGCACAUCUCUACUUCCACAGAUUCUUCAUUCUGAUGUGACAUGGAGGAAGAAAAUGUCUUUCAUAUCAAAAGCCAGUGUUUUAUCUAAAUAAACUUAGCUGUCAGUUCAAAAAAAAAAAAAAAAA